rnacentral:rRNA from 1 species
UACAGAGGUCUCGAGCGUUGUUCGGAUUCAUUGGGCGUAAAGGGUGCGCAGGUGGCGAGGCAAGUCGGAUGUGAAAUCCCGGGGCUCAACCCCGGAACUGCAUUCGAUACUGCCUUGCUAGAGUGCUGGAGAGGAGAUUGGAAUUUACGGUGUAGCAGUGAAAUGCGUAGAUAUCGUAAGGAAGACCAGUGGCGAAGGCGG